UCGGCUUCUGGUGUUCAUUUUGUGUGGAGCUGGAUAAAGAAUUUGGACUGCACAGAUAGAGAAAAAGGAAAUAGAUCUCCAUUGCUCCUGAAGAGGGAUUACUCCGAAAUGUGUUGAGCCUUAAUAAAUCUACCAAGCACCAGAGCCUGCCUCUCUUUUCUGCCCUGUUCAACCUUAGUCACUGGACUAACAGUAUCAAAACAUGGCCCAGUAUUUCUUAACUGGGACCCUGGAGGAAGUCUACAAAUCUUGGGCAUUCAGAACUUUUGGGGACAAAUGGAGGCAUUUGGGAUUUAGACAACCCCUUUCCCGCCUUCUGACAACGAGCAAAGGAGAGCUGCAUAUUCCUCAUCCCACCCUGAGGAUAAAAAACUAGCUUUCCCCCUCAGGCUCUUAAAAAAGUGGACAUGGCAAAGUAUCAAACAGAAAUGCCCCCAAAGUAUCAAACUUGGGGCAAAAAGAAAAAUAAUACUUCAUCCAUUUACAGUGUGCUUCAAGAAAGAAUACAGUAGCAACAAAGAGGAGGGAGAAACAAGUUCUCAAGAAAGCGUCAAUUGGGAUCAAAGGCAAAAUGACCUGUUUGGAGGACAAAUACCUCCCUUGUCUGUGUGAGUUUUCUGAACCCACCACCGCAUAUUUCAGGUCAGAUCUGUGUAUUAUAUACAUAUAUCUAUACAUUGGAAUAAAGUUGCUUGUCUAGA